CAUGCAAGUCGAACGAAAUAGCUAGCUUGCUAGUUAUUUAGUGGCGGAAGGGUUUAGUAAUACAUGGGUAACUUACCUCUAACUUGGGAAUAACGAUUGGAAACGAUCGCUAAUACCGAAUGUGGUGACUCUAGGCAUCUAUAAGUCAUUAAAGUGGGGGAUCGCAAGACCUUGCGGUUAGGGAGAGGCCCAUGGGAUAUCAGCUAGUUGGUGAGGUAACGGCUCACCAAGGCUAAGACGUCUAGGCGGAUUGAGAGAUUGACCGCCACACUGG
rnacentral:rRNA from 1 species